rnacentral:tRNA from 1 species
GCCUGGGUGGCUUAGUCGGUUAAGCACCUGACUUCAGCUCAGGUCAUGCUCUCAGGGUCCUGGGAUGGAGCCUUAGUCG